rnacentral:misc_RNA from 1 species
AAGUCGUAACAAGGUUUCCGUAGGUGAACCUGCGGAAGGAUCAUUAACACGUAUCCAACGUUAAACAACCCUGUGAACUUUAAGUCCCCUCUUGCAGCCCAUGAGGAACAGCAAUCCCGGUAAAUCAUUGCCAAACAGUUUUGAUUCGGGACCUCUGUCCAAAAGGAGUUGCAAUCGAAGGGUGGAAGCAGUGGCAUGGCUUCCCCAAGCAGUUAGUGAAUGACAGUGUCACUGACUGUGUAAGGAUAACGCCUCACGGUUGCUAGAGGUCGAUCACCGACCGGCAGACAUGUCACAGGGUCACCACGCCCCUUAAUCACCCCAAUUUGAAAUUGCUCCUACCUGGUGGUAACGCACUGGGUCAAAAAAACCGAACAACUGUUAACAAUGGAUCUCUUGGCUCUC